rnacentral:rRNA from 1 species
AAAUCCGGUUGAUCCUGCCGGAGGCUACCGCUAUUGGAGUCCGAUUAAGACAUGCGAGUCGAGAGCUUUCGGAGCUCGGCAUACUGCUCAGUA